AACAGCUAUCAGCUAGAACAGAAAGCUAUGAAAAUGUUCUUCCAAGUUUCUCUACUUAGGAGACUGUGCUGGGAGAAGUUUUCUGAACAACCUUUCAUUCUUCCAAUGCUAGGUUCAAGAAAUCCUGCUAAUAUGUUUUCAUUGAAAUGGUAUUGUAGGGCUGAAGUCAAUAAGCAAAGAUGUAGUGUUGAAAGUCACCCUCUUUUUUUUUCUUGUUUUCACACAUUUUCCUCUUUCUUGGCAUUGCCUAGAUUUAUUCUCCUCUUCUCCCUUUUAGAAACAGAAUUUGGCAUAAAUAAAUGAUAACUGAGAAAAUGGCAUACACGGACAAGUAAAUGCAAGAUUUCUCCAGCCUCCCACAGGCUUGAAAUGUAUUUAGGGAAGCCAGGCAUGUAUGCGUGAAAUAGAAAGUCACCAUACAAGGCAGUGGGGCACCUGCCAUUUGCUGCAGAGGACACAGCUGAAGAUCAGGACUACAGUCGUUCAAGG
rnacentral:lncRNA from 1 species